UCGCUCCCAGUCCUUAUGAAGCUGCUGGAACUGUUUCUGCUGUGUUUCAUAAUGUCGCAGCUGCAUCUCCACUGACAUCGUCUGUAGAUGUGGAGGUUGUUGCAUGAUUUGUUGAUACUGCUGUACUAUCUGCUGCAGCUGGGCAUGCUUCUGCAUUAUCCUCUGGUACUGAAAUCCAACUCGGUGAUGGGGAUGCUGCUGCCAUUGAGCUGCUGCUGCUUGCAACUGCUGCAAUCUCAAAUCUUC
rnacentral:lncRNA from 1 species